rnacentral:tRNA from 1 species
GGAAAUGUGGCCGAGUUGGCUAAAGGCAGCUCUCCGCUAAGGAGCCGGACGAGGUGGUCUCGUCCCGAUGGUUCGAAUCCAUCCAUUUCCGCCA